ACGGAGUAAGAGACUAGCUAAGAAGAAGUGGGACACUGAGAGGACUGAGGAGAGUAGACAGGAGUACAGGGAGAUGCAGCGUAAGGUGAAAGUAGAGGACUCCUGUAAUGCAGAAUCAACCAGUCUCCCAAUCCUGGAGCUGUUUGUCCAACAGUGAAGAUCCAAGACCAGACUUCAGAAUGAACAGGAACUCUCCUGCGGUCUUCCUGAACCUCCUCCCCGGUGACAUCGGUAUCCUCCUGCAAGUGCUGGAGCUGCAUCACACUUGUAUACCUCAUGUAAGUGAACACACUGCAGUUUUUCAGUAUUAUUUGGAAUAUUUUUAUAUAAAUUUAAAUUUAUAUAUUGCAGGUUGUCACAGCGUGUGCUAUCCUCCACAACAUCUGCCUCUGUGCUGACGACACCGAGGCCCCAGAGGAAGAUGUGGAGGUGAUGAUGAGGACGCUGGUUUGGAGGCCACCAGCGGUGCUCUCUGUCAGGAUCAACUACCGGCUGAGGUUUCUGCCCUGGGGGAGGUACCACCUUGAUUACUGGUAACAGCAUCCGUCCACAGCCAGCCCUGCAAACUGUGAAGAUGGACGAUGCAGUCUACAGUGAAGAUGCAUCCAGAAACUCUGCAGAUUACACUGCAAGAUGUUACAAUCACUACCCAGAAAACUCCAGCCAAACUUAGUCAAAGCCCCCCCAUCCAUGUCGACCAUCUUUGUAAGUAGGAAAUAAGUGUUACAAUUAUUUCAUGAAAAUUACUGUGUUGGAUUUAUGUAUUUAUUUAAAUUAACAAAACAAAAACAAACAUUUUUAAUAUAUCAAAUAUAAACUUCAUUUAUUUAUUCUCAAAAAUCUAAGGAUUUUAACAGCAAUUCUUUCCAGCAGACUAAAGUUGGUCAAAAGUUUCCCUCCUCUCUCGUGAGCUCUGCUCUUCUGCCUCAUGUCCUUUCUGUUUAGGUCUACAAGCUCAUCACUGUUUCUUCUUAUUUUUCUUCUUCCAGCCAGUGGCUCACUCCUUCCUUCUCUUUCUUCACUCUCCUCUCUUUCACCCACUGCUGUACUUCUCCAGCAGAUCCAUUUUCUC